rnacentral:rRNA from 1 species
AUACGGAGGGUGCAAGCGUUAAUCGGAAUUACUGGGCGUAAAGCGCGCGUAGGCGGUUUGGUCAGUUGGAUGUGAAAGCCCAGGGCUCAACCUUGGAACUGCAUUCAAUACUGCCAGGCUAGAGUACGGUAGAGGGAGGUAGAAUUCCACGUGUAGCGGUGAAAUGCGUAGAGAUGAGGAGGAAUACCAGUGGCGAAGGCGGCCUCCUGGAUCGAUACUGACGCUGAGGUGCGAAAGCGUGGGGAGCAAACAGGAUUAGAAACCCCGGUAGUCC